AUUGAACGCUGGCGGCAUGCUUUACACAUGCAAGUCGAACGGCAGCGCGGGCUUCGGCCUGGCGGCGAGUGGCGAACGGGUGAGUAAUGCAUCGGAACGUGCCCAGUAGUGGGGGAUAGCCCGGCGAAAGCCGGAUUAAUACCGCGUACGACCUGAGGGUGAAAGCGGGGGACCGAAAGGCCUCGCGCUAUUGGAGCGGCCGAUGUCGGAUUAGCUAGUUGGUGGGGUAAAGGCUUACCAAGGCGACGAUCCGUAGCUGGUCUGAGAGGACGACCAGCCACACUGGGACUGGGACACGGCCCAGACUCCUACGGGAGGCAGCAGUGGGGAAUUUUGGACAAUGGGGGCAACCCUGAUCCAGCCAUGCCGCGUGCGGGAAGAAGGCCUUCGGGUUGUAAACCGCUUUUGUUCGGGAAGAAAUCCUCUGGGCUAAUACCCCGGGGGGAUGACGGUACCGGAAGAAUAAGCACCGGCUAACUACGUG
rnacentral:rRNA from 1 species